rnacentral:snoRNA from 1 species
AGCUGUUAAUGAUGAUUUUGUUUAAGACAAUGGGAAUCUCUCUGAAAAAGAGUGAAGAGAA